GAUCUUGUUUAGAUACCAAAAUAUUAUCUUUAUGUUUUUAGAAGACUUUCAGCUUACCAUUAAUUUUAAUCCAGAAGUUGGCAGUGGACAAGCAAUCAAAAUCCAAGAUCUCCAUUUCUCACUGAAGCCCUUAACAGAAUGAUACCCCAAAAUGACCUAUGUUGAUGAUCUCCCUUCCACAUCCUAGAGUUUACAACUUCAUUUGGAAAGUCUUAGAACACCUUGAUAAAAUCAACCUGGAUGACAUUUGUAGUCCUCGGAACUUUGUUGGAUCAUAAUUUUUUUUUUUUCACUUCAUACCGGAGAGGAAGCUUUGACUGCCUAACAGAAAGGAACCCCCAGUAGAAUUUAAAAACUGUCCUCAAACUUGAAAAUUUUUGAUACAGGUUGAUGAUCUUCCUUCCACAUCCAAAUAAUUGAUCAUAAGAAAUCUCUUGGUAAAUGAAACUCUUCUUCUUUUGCUUGUUAACUUGAAGGUGGAAUCAGAAAACAGAAUCUUCAACACUGCUUUAAGUGUUCAUCUUGUUAUUGCAUCUUUGCCUUCACAUAGUGUCCACCUUCUGCCCUUUCAAAUGACACUGCCUGCACUCUCUUUGGUCCACACCCAAGCUGCUCAAUAGAAAGACCAACCACCUGUUCUCCAUGCCAUCCAAAAAAUGAAGCUCGGAGAAAAUGGCAUCCUUUUGAGCUGCAAUAUUACCAUGUAUUACACAUGGAUUAAUUAAAAUUCUUUUUAUUUUUCAUUUGUCUUAUAGACUAAUUUAUAAUAGCAUUUGAUCUAAUCCUCUCUUCAAGACUAUAGGAUGAAUUCGAUUUGCUGUUCCUCUCUCCUCAAAAUCCUCUCUUCAAGAUUACAAAUACAUAUAUAUGUUAUUAUUAUUAUUAUUUUGAACAA